rnacentral:rRNA from 1 species
AACGAACGCUGGCGGCGUGCUUAACACAUGCAAGUCGAACGGGACGGCCGUGCUUUUUUGGGGUGGGCGGGUGACGGCGGGGUAAGUAGCACGUAAGUACCCUACCAUUCCCUGUAAGGUGAGUUCAUAACGCAGAGUCUCAUCCCGCCAAAGAUCUCCUGCUGCUGGGUGGGGGUGGGUUAGUUUCGGCAGUUGGGGGUGGAAUGGCGGCUUAUCAGCUUGGUGGUUGGGUAGUGGCUUAGCAAGGCUUUGAAGGGUAGCCGGGCUGAGCGGAGCAGCGGCCAAACUGGGACUGAGAUACGGCCCAGACCCCUAUGGGAGGCAGCAGUGGGGAAUAGUGUACAAGGGGCGGAAGCCUGAUGCAGCAAAGCCGUGUGCGGGAAGACGGCAUGCGGGUUGUAAACCGAUGCCGCUUGUGACGAAGUGUGAGUGACGGUAAUGGGUAAAGAAGCACCGGCUAACUACGUG